CGGAAUUCGUUUCACAUUUGUUUCACUUCACACUUAAAAUGAGUACAGAGGGCCAUCUAAAAAAAAUCACAUUAGGACGUCUGAUGAAAGUGUGUGUGUGUCAUCUUACCCAAUUAGCGCGAAAGGUUUUGAUGUGUGCAAUUUGUUUAUCAGAAAAUAACUCACAUAAACAUGGAUGCACGUCAUUGAUGACGUUACAAAGGCAACUCGUUCUGGUUCGCUGGUCAGUAGGGGGUUAGCGUCCUGUCCCUUUGCCGCUGUAAACCAGUUUUGCCACUUCCCCAGGGGAAUUAGAGAUAGGAGCGGCCGAAUCAUGACCGAGCCAGCAGCAAUGCUUUUUCAGAACCCCGAACAGCCGAGUAGCAGACAUUUCUCUGGACCACUCAGCAAGCGUGGCCCUUGUAGCGUCAGCUCGAGGUCUCAGGGAGAUCAUAGGCUGGUACUGCUCUCCACCGCCGUUGCGCACGGUUGCUUUCUGCGGCGUACCGUAAAUUCAAUUUCUGCGAUAAUUAUGGCUCUAUACGGAGUGAAUUAAUUUUGAUGGUGCAUUUUACUGGCCUACUAAAUAGUUUUAUAGGAAGAAAACAUGGUGUUAAAAAUGGCUUGAAAACAUGUCGGCAAGAAAAAAGUUCUUUCCUUAGACGGUAUACUUUACAGCAAUAGGAUAUCUCUGUCGCACUAAGCCGUAUUCUUUGCAAACGUAAUGGACAUUUACACAUAGGCUUCUUGAAAAUGUACUCCAAAGGUCGAUGGUCUGUCAACGAAACCCCUGUUUGCUCAAAAAUGUAAUCAUGGAACUUCGUACAACCAUGCACAAUAGCCAAAGUUUCCUUCUCGGUUUGGGCAUAUUGCUUAUGCGUAUCAGUUAAAGAACGUGAAGUGCGUGAAAUGGGACAACUUCUUUGAAGUACUACGACGCCAACUCCGGUCCGACUAUCUACCGACAACGAAACAGGCAAAAAAGCGAUAAAUGCCCGACUGUUUGGUGGUGCAUUUUAAAAACGAUAAAACCCCAGUGCAGGGCACACGAAAGGACUGGACUAGACGAAACGAAGCACUGGCUGACAAACAGACUAAUACAUCAGACACACGCUUACAUACAGUACUGCUCACAACGCCCCCUAGUGAAAGCCAAGGCAGACAUAAUCAGAAAGAACCUCCUCCGUCCUUUCGUGUCCCUUGCACUGGUGUCUUAUCGCUUUUAAAACAGGCAAGCCUGUUCAUAAAAUGCAAGUACUGGAGCCAUCCGCAAGGCCUGGAGACUUUGCUCUUGACGCCAUAACCAAGCUCCAUCUUUUUUUCAGAAACUCCCGCAGUGGAGCCGUGAUUUCAGAUAUCUUAGGAGUCAACCUUGCUAUAAAAUUCAUCAUACUCAGGAAGUGGCUUCGGAGGAAGAAGCAACGUUGACAGCAUCCUCGAGGGUGUUGCUUCAGUUGCGGCGUUAGUGUGACGUAGCCCUGUUUACGGGGCUGACGGUACACGACCAAAACAAAUCGAUGGACUCAGCACAAGAGGGGAAAUGAGAUACAAUCUAUUCGCGUCAAGCCACGGAAUUCCAACACACAGCUAGUGGGAGCUCACCGCCUUGAAGUCCGUUGUCUUCAUGUGAAGCGUACUGGCGACGAAGUUGGUGGUCUGGGUCCAGGGACUGGGACAGAAGCGUUCGUGGAGGAUGGCUACACACGGCAGGAGAACGUCAAAGCCCGGGAGCUGGCAGGCGAGCCGAUUGAGGACGAUGUGGGUCACGGCAGAGGCAGUCUUCCGGCGCAGAGCCUUGCGGACUGUCUCACAGGAGGAUUCCGAAGAUGCCGUCUUUUGUUGGGCGUCCGCUUAUAUAGCAGGUGGUGUCUUUGUCCCGUGGUCCACUUUCGCGUCUGGCCUUGAGACUUCCAGGAAAGAGACCUUCACUGUCCCUUUCAACUGCUGGGAAAGUUCCCCAAAAUAGUUCUCCUACGAUUCCGGCGAUCACGACAAAAUGGCCGUCACAUCCGCUCCCACCAGAAGGAGAAUUUUCUAUGUACAUGAAAAUUCCUCGCGUAACCUCGCAACAUCAACACAGUGUUUGUCUCCACCUAGGCGUCGCAGCGACCGAAAUCAAGGCUACUAAAUGCGAAUGUAGCGCUAUAACUCUUUAUUAACUUUGUGACCUCCGCGCGUUCUUCCGGGCGAAUAUGACUCAGUUCGAAUUUCCCGAUUAAAUCUUCGGCAGUCGCCGCGUCCACCCUGUCGCAACUCAACACUUCCGUGCGGUCCGCGUACUCUGCGCCGGUAAACGAGGCUACCACCUUAUUUUUCGGUAGUCGGACUUCAGCUAGACUGUAGUUGGCCAUUCUUAUUGGCACUUGACCUUCCCUUGAAACAUAAACCAAUAAGUUUACGCCAGCAAGCCCGUUAACCUCAAUUUUUCCCUCAACAAUACCCAUCUCUCCGGGGCGUACGCAACUCUCCAGUUGGCCAGUUACAAUUACUUCAGACACAGGCGGGAUUUUACACUCCUCGACAAGACGUAUCGCUGUGGACUGCAUCCGAUGCGUCGUUUCAAUCGUUUUACUAACGCGCUCAUCCCCUGAGACUUUUCUGUUUACUACUGCAACACAUUCGUCGUUUAUCGUGACGACCCCUUUACUUGACAGUAUAUCGAUGCCUUGGGCUAUAAUCAUGUCCUGACCAAUAAUACCCGCGGCCGAUAGCGUUAUGUCUUCCGUAACAACAAAACACGGGUAUUCAAAGCGCGUCUCUCCUAGCUGAAGCGGUAUUUUGUACGUCCCUUUUGUGUGCAAUGGGUUGCCUGUUAUGCCCACCAACUGCGUGUGCCUACCAACCGCGAUCUCGAAGCAUUCAGCCCAAUUUGGAUGCAACUGCUCUAAUACACUUUGUUUGACGAGGCUUACUUUUGACCCAGUAUCGAUGAGGAAAUCGCACUCUUUGGCACCAAUUUUGCACCGAACAAUGGGACUGGUUUCCCCGCAAAACCUGACAACCAAAAGCUCUGUUCCCUCCUCUGCGGAGUCCACGGAGGAGGGCGUUUCUAGUUUCCCUGGUUCUGCUCGAGGUUUCCGGGCCUCAUGCGGUCGCCAGCUUCCCUGUUCUCCCUUCGCCUUGCACUAAAACGUCGAGUGCGACAAUCUCUCGCGAAAUGUCCGACUUUCCCGCAGUUAUAACACUCUACACGAGGGCGAUCUAUACGUCUCGACGCAUUUUCUGCGGCAUGCUCCUGCGAUAGUCGGAGACUCUGUUCGAGUAGUGCUUCAAGGCGGUCAAGUCUACGCCUAAUCUCAUCGACCUCUUCUAAGCCGCCUGUCGAAGUGGCCCGUACGGCAGCUCGCUCUGAUACAAGCUUCUCGUUGCGUUCCUCUUUUACGGCUACCUCGACCGCGUUUUUCAUGGUUUUCGGCUCUCUGGUUAGGACGAAUCUCCGUACAGGGUCGCGCAUACCGCUCAGAAAUACCGACAGCAUUUGUUCGUCUAACAACUCUCUUGCCAGCUUUGCCUUUUCUGCUUCCCCAGUAAAAUCGCCCAAUGUGUCCUCUCCGAGCGAGCGCACGCGAUUUGCGAAGGACCGCGCGUCCUCGUUUCUUUCCUGUUUAGCGGAGAGAAAUUUCUCCAUUUUGACACUCUUUGGUUCAGUGUCAAAGCGGGUUAUCGCUAGCUUUUUGAAGUCUUUGAAUGACUCUAGAGCGAGCGACUCCUCGUCCUGCCAAGCAAAGCUAUGUGCGGUGCCCAUCAUCUUGCACCUCGCCAUACCUACGAGCUGGUUGUCUUGCCAGCCGCCCAUCUUCCCCAACUGUUCUAGGACAGCGAAGAAUUCUUUGAUCGUUAUACCGGUUCCAUCCCCCGUGAAUGUAGGCAGCAUGGAACCUAACGCGAGCACCCCCGCGCCUAACGCACUUCCCUGGGCCGUUUGCGGAGCUGUUGCCAUCCUGCGAGGUUUCCCUUGAACGUGGGGGCUACAAAUCGUGUCCCACGUUUAAUCCUUGUGCAAAGAUCCCACCGCUGCCACCAAGUGUGACGUAGCCCUGUUUACGGGGCUGACGGUACACGACCAAAACAAAUCGAUGGACUCAGCACAAGGUAAGGGAAAACUCCGAACAGCACCAGUGCCAAUAAAUAUGGGUUUAAUAUCCCGAGCUAUAUACAACACGUAUUUACAGAGGGGAAAUGAGAUACAAUCUAUUCGCGUCAAGCCACGGAAUUCCAACACACAGCUAGUGGGAGCUCACCGCCUUGAAGUCCGUUGUCUUCAUGUGAAGCGUACUGGCGACGAAGUUGGUGGUCUGGGUCCAGGGACUGGGACAGAAGCGUUCGUGGAGGAUGGCUACACACGGCAGGAGAACGUCAAAGCCCGGGAGCUGGCAGGCGAGCCUAUUGAGGACGAUGUGGGUCACGGCAGAGGCAGUCUUCCGGCGCAGAGCCUUGCGGACUGUCUCACAGGAGGAUUCCGAAGAUGCCGUCUUUUGUUGGGCGUCCGCUUAUAUAGCAGGUGGUGUCUUUGUCCCGUGGUCCACUUUCGCGUCUGGCCUUGAGACUUCCAGGAAAGAGACCUUCACUGUCCCUUUCAACUGCUGGGAAAGUUCCCCAAAAUAGUUCUCCUACGAUUCCGGCGAUCACGACAAAAUGGCCGUCACAUUAGCCAUACUGCUUCAUGCGUAUAGGCGUCGGAGCGCGUGGCCUGCUUGCAUGCCAGCGCCGCCUUGUGUCGAUGAUGGGGCGUGCUGGGGUGGAGACUCUGGGGCCCUGGUGCACAAGCGCCCCCUCUCGACAGGGGCACGGCAAGCACGCACGGAUCACCUACUCGGUUAGCUAUCUGCAGACACUUCAGCGAUAAGAAAAUCAGUAUUCGAGCACAAAUAUCAGUGUUUCUUUGGUAUAUUUGUAUCCACACAAACACGUUACCAAAUCUUUCCUCACCACCAUGAAAAAAAAAAUCUGUGAUAACCAGUGAUGGCCACUAACUACUUCUACAGUAGUUUAACUAUAACUACUAACUACUUCGCGAUGAAGUAGUUUAACUAGUAGUUCAACUACUUUUCAGGGUAGGUAGUUAAAACUACUUCUUUAACUGCUGCAAUGUAUUUUAACUACAUCUAUAACUACUUAACGAUGUCGAUUCACACCAAUCACAUUCUAUAGUGUUCUUGGACACCUAAAUAUGAAUCACAAACAGCGAUAAAAAUGAAGAUUGAGUACACAUGCACGGCACAAUUGCUCUGCACCUCCGUUCUCAUCAAACAAGUAGCUCAAGGAAAAAGUCCGAAGCACAAUCGUGCCGUAAAGCUUGCGGCAAAAUCGGUCGUAGUUGGCGCCUGCAGUAGCCUAACUACUGUAGUUAACUACUCGAAAUAGUAGUUUAACUAGUAGUUGUCACUAGAUUUCUGCAAGUAGUUGAUAACUACUUUUUAACUACAAUCAAGUAGUUUAACUAGUAGUUUAACUACAUGUAGUUAACUACUGGCCAUCACUGGUGAUAACACAUAUCAUAGUGAACAGAACGCUCAGAGCAAACAUGGGUGAGCCUACAUUGUUUGCAUAUGUCUCAAACUUAUUUCAGAAUAUUGUGCCCCUCAAGCUCGCCCUUCCGCAAACCGGCAUUUAGAUAAAGCGUGGUAGAUAACGUAAGGUGAUACUAUACAGCAGGCGAUCCAUUCGUACCAUGCCGAUUACCCUGAGCUCAACCGAUCGAGAGGGGGCGCUCGUGUACCAUGGUCUUAGAGUCUCCACCCCAGCACCGACGCAAGGCGGCGCUAGCAUGCAAGCUGGCUCGUAUACUGAUACUCUAUACUGCACGUGCUCUGUACUGCAGAGCACGUGCUCUACAGCACGCGCUCCCAUGUGCAGUAGAUAGCUUAUCUGACAGUCCCGAGUUAUCACAUACGCGUGAAAGUCCUUAGGCAGAUUCUUCUUGCGCGAAAGGUACCUUUCUGGCGUUCUUCAGGAGGACAAUUGCCCCCCCCCCCCCACGCCUCCCCGCUCCCCUCCCGUAGACGCCGGCACUACUCAUUAAAUAUUUAAAAUAUUUUUUUUUUUUAUUCCGUGUUAGCGUCGCGAAGGAACUGUGGCUACGAGCGGCAUACAGAUGUGGACAGGUGGGGAGAGGACAGCAGGAAGGAGUGGGGGACAGGGGGUUAGUAUGCGCCCUGGCCCGACUUCAGGGGGAACUGAGUGCCGACAGUUCUGGAAAGUCUUCGGAAAACCCAGGAGAAAACUCGGACAGCACAGCCGGUGGUAGGAUUCGAAUCCACCACCUCCCAGUCUUCAGCACGACCUUGGCUCCCACCAACGAGCUUUUAAAAGUACACGACGCUGGCUCAGCAGUAUGGCUUCGGUUGACAGUACCAGCAGGUGCAAUAAGGCAGGCUAAAAUAUACACAUGCGGGUCAACAGCUCUCAAAAUGUAUAUUUUUUCAUAGACCUUUGACACAUCGUCACAGAAUCAUGCAUACACCAUUGGGGCGUAACUAACGUCGCAUGAACGUGGCUUGUCAUCGCCACACCAAAUCAACUUGUGUUUGGUAAUCUCUCUUGCUUACUUUCGUCUCAAAGUUUUUUUCUGAAACUUCAGGAGCUUUGCUUUAGUGUAAGUCCGUCCGGGAAAUAACCCACGCAGAAAUGGUACUUUCGAGAACGUAGGCUAGUGUCCCUUCUGAAGCACCUGAAUAGAGGUAAGGAGAACAUUUCCCUGAGUUUGUGGAGCAACCAAAAAGGGACGACACAUACACACUUUUUUAGGUUGCUCCCCAAACCCAGGGAAAUGUUCUCCUUGUCAUUACACCAGUUAGCUCGCUUACUUUUCUUCUCGCCGUCUUAUAGAGAUGCCCCACCCCGCUCCCGCCCGACGUUUCUUAACAAGCUUUCUUCUCUCAGUAGCACCGCACACAAUGAACAUACUACGUCCGACACCACAGUCGUGUUUUCGUCCUCCAUAAUCGAAGAUCUGGAGUUGCGACCUCAAAUCAGUAGUUUUUAUCAGAAUCACAAGCACGGAGGGGUUUUAAAAAAAUUUUGCGGGGGGGGGGGGGGGGUCUUCCUACACUUACGUCAUAAGUUGUUAUGACUCAUAACAACUUAACGCAUCAUUGUCGACAUGUCGUUACAGCUGAAACAGCAAGCCCUCCUCGCUUGUAGGGGGCGCACAGGUAAAAAAAAGUUAGUAGGGAGUCGCCAAACAUUGAAGGGGGGAAGGGGGGCUGGAUGAUUCACUGGCUCAAAUGUACGUCAUUC